GAAAUGCGAUAAGUAAUGUGAAUUGCAGAAUUCAGUGAAUCAUCGAAUCUUUGAACGCACCUUGCGCUCCUUGGUAUUCCUUGGAGCAUGCCUGUUUGAGUAUCAUGAAAUCUUCAAAGUAUAUCUUUUGUUAACUCAAUUGGUUUCUACUUUGGUAUUGGAGGUCUUUGCAGCUUCACACCUGCUCCUCUUUGUUCAUUAGCUGGAUCUCAGUGUUAUGCUUGGUUCCACUCGGCGUGAUAAGUUAUCUAUCGCUGAGGACACUGUAAAAGGUGGCCAAGGUAAAUGCAGAUGAACCGCUUCUAAUAGUCCAUUGACUUGGACAAUACUUUUAUGAUCUGAUCUCAAAUCAGGUAGGACUACCCGCUGAACUUAAGC
rnacentral:misc_RNA from 1 species